AUGACUGGAUGCACAGCAGCGCAGACUCGUCUGAAUAAGGAAGACUUGGAAAACAUGUUAAAUAAUCAGUAAACUGCCUUUGACAAAAUCGUCGUUCGUGGAAAUUUCUGUGGAAGUCUGGAAAACUUAACAAGCUCCUUACAUGACUUAUCGCCGCUAUAUAUGAACGGCGAUGUGCCGUUACUUUUGAUUUCGCUUCGUGCAGUGCAUUCUUAGCUAUAAAGCAAUUGUUUUUUAACGACGCAUAUAUGGAUAAUAGUAGCUCCCAAAAUGUAUGAAUUUGUAGGUGCCA
rnacentral:sRNA from 1 species